rnacentral:rRNA from 1 species
CCUACGGGCGGCAGCAGUGGGGAAUAUUGGACAAUGGGCGAAAGCCUGAUCCAGCCAUGCCGCGUGUGUGAAGAAGGCCUUCGGGUUGUAAAGCACUUUCAGUGGGGAAGAAAGCCUUGGGGCUAAUACCCUCGAGGAAGGACAUCACCCACAGAAGAAGCACCGGCUAACUCCGUGCCAGCAGCCGCGGUAAUACGGAGGGUGCGAGCGUUAAUCGGAAUUACUGGGCGUAAAGCGCGCGUAGGCGGUCUGAUAAGCCGGUUGUGAAAGCCCCGGGCCCAACCUGGGAACGGCAUCCGGGACUGUCAGGCUAGAGUGCAGGAGAGGAAGGUAGAAUUCCCGGUGUAGCGGUGAAAUGCGUAGAGAUCGGGAGGAAUACCAGUGGCGAAGGCGGCCUUCUGGACUGACACUGACGCUGAGGUGCGAAAGCGUGGGUAGCAAACAGGAUUAGAUACCCGGGUAGUC